GUUCCCGGGUCUUGUACACACCGCCCGUCACACCACGAGAGUUUACAACACCCGAAGUCGGUGAGGUAACCGCAAGGGGCCAGCCGCCGAAGGUGGGGUAGAUGAUUGGGGUGAAGUCGUAACAAGGUAGCCGUAUCGGAAGGUGCGGCUGGAUCACCUCCUUUCUAUGGAGA
rnacentral:rRNA from 1 species